UACAACAGAGCCACCUAGGAAAAGAGAUCC
rnacentral:piRNA from 1 species